rnacentral:lncRNA from 1 species
UGGUUGAUAAGUGGUGGAAUGUGGUGGUUAAGCAUCUCCAAGGAAGGUAGUCAUAUGGUAAAAAUUUCAGCUCAAGCAGAUCAAGGAAAAAUAUACUUGCUUCACAAAGUGCCAUUUGUGACCAGAAGAAAAAAUAAUUUCCUCAGCUGAAAUUUUCCAAAUGGCCAUGGGAUGUUUUUGCAUGGGGAGGUGAGACACGAUCCAAAGAAUAUUAGGGAAUUUUCUGAGAAAGAUAAAUGAAGGUUGCUUCAUAGCAUAGAAAGAAAAUGCUCAUUUUCAAAGAGAAAAUGUAUAUUUUCCUAUUAUG